rnacentral:rRNA from 1 species
AGUUCAAGAGUACGUGAAACCGUUUAGGGGUAAACCUGAGAAACCCGAAAGGUCGAAGGGAGAAAUUCAUUCGCGUUUCGACGUAGGCGCGGGACGGGGCCCUCGAGCGACGGAAUUCGCGUUCUUCGGAACGCGUUUUCGCGCCCUCCGUCCUUCGAACCGACGGCGAACGCGUGCACUUUUCUCCUGGUAGGACGUCGCGAUCCGUCGGGCGUCGGUCUACGACUUGCGGUGGAGACCGUCCGUCGCGUUUUCACAACGUGCGGACGGACCCGCUCGUUCCGGCCGACUCGCUCGACGGUAUGCCCUAAGGUCGGAGGCCGCUCGAUUUUUUUCAAGGAGCGUUCGACUCGUCGCAAGCGCGCCACGUGCGUCGGCACGCGGACCCGGUGCCGCGUCCGAUCUCUGGUGACUGUUGGCGACGACGUUCUCGGACAGACCUCUUUUUUUUAAUUAGACCGAUCGGCGACGCUAUAGCUUUGGGUACUUUCAGGACCCGUCUUGAAACACGGACCAAGGAGUCUAGCAUGUACGCGAGUCAUUGGGAAUCGCUAAACCUAAAGGCGCAAUGAAAGUGAAGGUCUUCCUCGCGAAGACCGAGGGAAGACGGGCGAGGUCGUCGAAAGUAGACAUCGUCCCGCAUUCCCGGGGCGUCUCGCGUUCACAUCGCGUGACGAGGCGCACCAAGAGCGUACACGCUGGGACCCGAAAGAUGGUGAACUAUGCCUGGUCAGGACGAAGUCAGGGGAAACCCUGAUGGAGGUCCGUAGCGAUU